UACGAACCGUGCGAACGUUGUUCGGAAUCACUGGGCUUAAAGGGCGCGUAGGCGGGAUGGCAAGUCGGUCGUGAAAUCCUUCGGCUCAACCGAAGAACGUCGAUCGAUACUGCUGUUCUUGAGGGUUGCAGAGGAGACUGGAAUUCCCGGUGUAGCGGUGAAAUGUGUAGAGAUCGGGAGGAACACCGGUGGCGAAGGCGGGUCUCUGGGCAAUUCCUGACGCUGAGGCGCGAAAGCGUGGGGAGCAAACGGG
rnacentral:rRNA from 1 species